rnacentral:rRNA from 1 species
AGCGAACGCUGGCGGCAUGCUUAACACAUGCAAGUCGCACGGGCAGCAAUGUCAGUGGCGGGCGGGUGAGUAACGCGUAGGAACGUGUCCUGAGGUGGGGGACAACCCCGGGAAACUGGGGCUAAUACCGCAUAUGGGCUGAGGCCCAAAGCCGAGAGGCGCCUUUGGAGCGGCCUGCGUCCGAUUAGGUAGUUGGUGGGGUACAGGCCUACCAAGCCUGCGAUCGGUAGCUGGUCUGAGAGGACGACCAGCCACACUGGGACUGAGGCACGGCCCAGACUCCUACGGGAGGCAGCAGUGGGGAAUAUUGGACAAUGGGCGAAAGCCUGAUCCAGCAAUGCCGCGUGGGUGAAGAAGGUCUUCGGAUCGUAAAGCCCUUUCGACGGGGACGAUGAUGACGGUACCCGUAGAAGAAGCCCCGGCUAACUUCGUG